rnacentral:rRNA from 1 species
GCAUAUCAAUAAGCGGAGGAAAAGAAACCAACAGGGAUUGCCCUAGUAACGGCGAGUGAAGCGGCAACAGCUCAAAUUUGAAAUCUGGCUCUCUUUGGGGGUCCGAGUUGUAAUUUGCAGAGGAUGCUUUGGCAUUGGCGGCGGUCUAAGUUCCUUGGAACAGGACAUCACAGAGGGUGAGAAUCCCGUACGUGGUCGCCUGCCUUUGCCGUGUAAAGCUCCUUCGACGAGUCGAGUUGUUUGGGAAUGCAGCUCUAAAUGGGAGGUAAAUUUCUUCUAAAGCUAAAUACCGGCCAGAGACCGAUAGCGCACAAGUAGAGUGAUCGAAAGAUGAAAAGUACUUUGGAAAGAGAGUCAAAAAGCACGUGAAAUUGUUGAAAGGGAAGCGCUUGCAGCCAGACUUGCCCGCAGUUGCUCACCUAGGCUUUGGCCUGGGGCACUCUUCUGCGGGCAGGCCAGCAUCAGUUUGGGCGGUUGGAUAAAGGCCUCUGUCACGUAUCUUCCUUCGGGAUGACCUUAUAGGGGAGGCGUAAUGCAACCAGCCCGGACUGAGGUCCGCGCAUCUGCUAGGAUGCUGGCGUAAUGGCUGUAAGCGGCCCGUCUUGAAACACGGACCAAGGAGUCUAACAUCUAUGCGAGUGUUUGGGUGUCAAGCCCGGGCGCGCAAUGAAAGUGAACGGAGGUGGGAACCCUUUGGGUGCACCAUCGACCGAUCCUGAUGUCUUCGGAUGGAUUUGAGUAAGAGCAUAGCUGUUGGGACCCGAAAGAUGGUGAACUAUGCUUGAAUAGGGUGAAGCCAGAGGAAACUCUGGUGGAGGCUCGCAGCGGUUCUGACGUGCAAAUCGAUCGUCAAAUUUGGGCAUAGGGGCGAAAGACUAAUCGAACCAUCUAGUAGCUGGUUCCUGCCG